UAUAGCACAUUAUGCUAUAUUGACCCUAUUACCAGAAAGGUUGUGGCUCAUCAUGUACUUAUAUAAAUAUUAUAAUUCUGCUAAAUAAUGAAUUUUUAAAUUGUAAAUCGCAUAAAUAGCCUUUCAUUUGUUCUUAAUUGACCGCAAUUAUGGCUUUAGCAUCAUGCGCUGAAAAUCAGCGCUCUUGACAACACUGAACUGAACAAAACAAAUCCAACAUUUUCCCGCCUAAACUGCCUCACUCGGGACUUCGUGUUGAGCGGCCAACAACAGAUUUCUCCCUGUUUUGUCUCGUUACCGGGUUUUCCUCUCCCUCUGUUGUGCAUUAAGAGAUAUUGAAGACCCUGCUCAUGGACCAAAGGACAGUGAAAUCACCGCAAACAAGGAUGUGGAAAAGAUCGGUGUGGCUGGAGGGCAGAAAAGAAGAGGAGUGUGUGGUACCAUCUACCUGGAUAGUUGAAGGCAGCCAGAUUUUAUAUUGGCCAUCAAAAGUUGAUCCUCACAAUGCCUUAACUAGUCGAGAAGACCCAGACCCCAAAUCAUGGAGAAAAUUUCCAUUGAUAAAAGUAAAAAUAGCUUCUGACAGUUACGAGGAAUGUGAGCAGUACCAGCUGACAUCAGCAGUAGACAGUGACAGAAGCAGCAGUUACCUGGAUGGGGAGGAUGGUUUGACCUUGCGUGGUAGUAAGAAACGUAUGAAGAAAGCUCUGCCAAAGGACUUUAUUAGCAGUCAGGAUUUGGAUUGUCCACACUUUGCCUCAGGGCCAUCUUUACAAGUAACAGUUGCUCCCCCCCCACCACAAAAGGUUGUCCCAUACAACCAUCAACACAAAGACUUGCCAAGUGCAGCAAGAAAAAAAUCUGAAAAGACAUAAUUCUGACAGAUGUGAAAGUAACCGGCAAAAGAAGAGUAGUUACCAACAGCAAGAUGAAGGCAGUCAGCCUGAUACCCUACACGGCAGUUUGGACCUUCAUGACAACCACAGCCUAAGGAACAGAUCUGACCGACAGACGAGACAUGACAGCAGUGACCAACAAAGCAGACAUGACAGCAGCGAUUGACACAACAGACAUGACAGCAGCGAUUACACAGCAGACAUGACAGCAGUGACCGACACAGCAGACAUGACAGCAGUGACCAACACAGCAGACGUGACAGCAGUGACCAACACAAAAGACAUGACAGUCGUGGCCGAUGCAGCAGACUUGACAGCAGUGACCGACACAACAGACAUGACAGUCAUGACCGACACAACAGACAUGACAGCAGUGACUGACGCAGCAGGCAUGACAGUCAUGACCGACACAAGACAUGACAGUCGUGACCGACAUGACAGCAGUGACCGACGCAGCAGGCAUGACAGUCGUGACCGACACAACAGACAUGACAACAGUGACCAACGCAGCAGAUAUGACAGCAGUGACCAACAACGGAGCGAUUGGAUUCAGAAUCUGUCUAGUGAAGACCUUGAUGAUGUUCACCCCUUGAACCAAGGAGAAAACUGUCAGAGUGGAUUUCCUAUGGAUUGGGCAAAAUUCCAGAGGCGAGUCAUUCAUUUGUUGCUGGAUAUGUGGACCUCUUUACAUAUUCUUACUGACUCUACACCAAGUGACAAUGAUAUAUCAAUUCAACAGCUGGACUCUAUGGAGGAUGCAGAGGCAUUUGAAAAUGAAUUGUGAACACCCUCUUUUUGCAAAGAAAUGACAGAAAAAUUUGUCCACAUAGGUGGAAUUUCAGUGAAGGAUAUGAUAUCAAAGGUAUUGUGCAGCAUUAUGUCGAAGAAGUUGAUGUGUAAGUACAACAUGUAUGGACAACGGGGCAAAGUAGCUUUUAAAAAUACAAGAUUGAAGUGUCAUCGCAGACUGUUUUGAAGAAAUUCAGAGAUGUGAGUUUAACAGAAAUACACAUGAUUGCAACACAAUUGUGUAAUGCCCCAAAAAUGAAGUAAAGUGGAAACUAAAUCAUGUAGGGUAGUGGGCAAAUAGUGUUGCUGGGUCAGGGGAUACCAUAAAAUCAGGUAACUUCAGACAUUUUUUAGGGUUUUGGCCUAUAAAUUCUUGUAGAACUACACUAUUUGAAACCUGUCCUUACUGUGAAAACUGUUCUAUGAUCUGUCCAACAGUUUGGUUAGACUCAGGAAAACUGUUGAUACCCACAUUUUUAUUCCUGGUACGGUGUGCAAAAAAAUGUAGCAACAAGAUAUGUGUAUUCUCAAAGCAUGAACAGAAAUUUGUAUUAGUAAUUAAGAGCCACACCUGUAAUAUCAAGGCAUACUGUGUAGAACAGUCCUUGAGUUAGGGCUGAGGAGGUAAAACUAAAAUCUGAAAUCUGACUCCUUUAUUUUGAAAUAACUGCCACAAAAUGGUUGUUGAUAAUGAAACUGGCUUUAUAAUGCUACCAAGAACUCAGCUGGAGUCGGAGUCAUGGUAACUUUACUGCCUCCUGCCUCCUUUCACCCACUAUUGCUGUGACUUGACUGCAGGCCUGCCAUGGAUAACAGCAAAUUGUGAAAAUGAUGAUGUACAGUAUUGUAUUGUGGCUUUUCUUUCUCCUGAUGGAUAUAAAAUUUACAUAGUAUUAUAUUGUAUUGUGGCUUUUCUUUCUCCUGAUGGAUAUUAAAUUUACAUAGUAUAAUAUUAUGUCUCAUUGCAAUACAUACUGCAAUGCUGUAGUGCUUGAUGUUAAUUUUCUGUAUUGAUUAUUUUCUUGUUUAUCAGCAAUGCAUACCCUAUAUUGUUUAAAGAUGUAAAUGUCAUUGUAGGAUGUGUGUAUUUGCAUUCCUAAAAUCCUGUGCUUAAUACAUUCACUUCAAGAUAUUCAUGUAUGUAUUCCUUCCCAAUGGGCACGGCACGUGAAUUCAAUGUGGAUUAUUCAUGGAUUUCUGGUGAAAUCUUGAGUACGCAAGUAUUCACUAAAUUUCCACGUCUUUUCCACAUGGAUAACUGGUUACCAGAUUCACGUGAAUAACUGGAAAAAGAAAUCACGUGAUUUCUUUAGUAAUUUUAUACACGCAUAAAUCUGGUACUUGAAUUCACGUGAUAAUACAUUACUAAAAAUGGCAUUCUGGGCGUUAAUUAUAUACUUUUGUUAACAUUAAAUUUAAAAUAAAAUAGUAAAAAUAAGGUCAGUCCAGAACAUUAUACAUCCACCUUGAUUAAUUUUAGUUGUUAUAUUUCAUCUGUAGCCUACUAAUGAUAAUCCAUAUAUUCGCAACCUUCAUACAUAUAUAUAGGCUACAAAAUUUUGAGCUGCCCGCUAAAUCAAAUAGUCUACCCGGCCGCCAGGCAAUGCACCAUGCAGUCACUGAAACACGGAGAUUAAAUUGA